UGUUUCGGCUAGGGGGUCAUCCCGACUUACCAACCCGAUGCAAACUACGAAUACCGAAGAAUGUUAUCACGGGAGACACACGGCGGGUGCUAACGUCCGUCGUGAAGAGGGAAACAACCCAGACCGCCAGCUAAGGUCCCAAAGUCAUGGUUAAGUGGGAAACGAUGUGGGAAGGCACAGACAGCCAGGAUGUUGGCUUAGAAGCAGCCAUCAUUUAAAGAAAGCGUAAUAGCUCACUGGUCGAGUCGGCCUGCGCGGAAGAUGUAACGGGGCUAAACCAUGCACCGAAGCUGCGGCAGCGACACUAUGUGUUGUUGGGUAGGGGAGCGUUCUGUAAGCCUGCGAAGGUGUGCUGUGAGGCAUGCUGGAGGUA
rnacentral:rRNA from 1 species